ensembl:lncRNA
UACUUUUUUUUUUUUUUUUUUUUUUUUUUUUUUUUUUUUUUUUGCUAUUAUGCAUCAGUAUUUUCUUUCUGUUUCACGUUUGGUGAAGCAGUUAUAAAUGCAAGAAAGUGACAUAUUUUCAAAAAUUGAAGUUUUUUGAGCCAUGCUUAUAUGAUUCGGAUAGAUGUAAAAAUAGCAUAUUUUGAUGCUGAUCAAAAUGCAUCUGAAAGCAUUAAUAUGAUGUCUCAUUAAUCUGGACUUAUAUAGGCAAAUGCAACAUGUAUAAUUCACAUUAUAUAAUUACAGCAGAAGAGAAUAUAAAUUCUCUUAUCCUGGAAACUUCUAAAUUAUGAUAGAAUUUUCUGUACUGUAAACUGCUCUUGGCUAAAAUCUUUUCAAAUACAUAAGCUGAAAAUUGUUUCACUCGCUGACCUGUGAGCCAAGUUCCCCAAAGCCUGAUGCAAAUUAAAAUGGCUGAGUUAUAAAUAUCUCUGAAAGUAGGUUUAUAAUGGAAACACAACCAGAUCUUUCACUACAGAAGUACUCUUGGGGGCUGUUAGGACAGUUUAUAGAGCUAUCAGCGCCAAACUAUAAGUUAAUGAGGAGGAGCAAUUGACUGUAAUAAAGCACCCCUAAACAAGAAGAGAGCAUUAAAAAAUGCAAGCACUAAAAAUUCCUUUUGGGCUUCCCAUUAGCUAUGUCCCUGUAUAAAGUUGCUUCUUUCAUCAUUCUGGAAUAUAUUGCCAUGACUUCUUACAUUUUCAUGUGCUGAAUUCGGUACGUACACUUUUAUAGGCCUGGGGAAGAGGUGUGUGUGAAACUUAAAGUCAGAAGGCAGUUGUCAAAAAGCAAUUUACUAUUCUCCUCUCUUCUCAGCCUUACCUCUGUUCUCUUUAUUAUUACGUGACUGGGAAUGCACCGUAGGAUGACAGCAAGAUAAAAUUAGAUAUGGCUCCAUUUGACUUUUGCACCUUUUCACAUCAAUCUAUUCUCGCAAGUUUUAUUGUUAACAUUUGAACGUAGCAGAGAGUACAGGUGCCUAUGGCAGGCAAUCAGUGCUUGAGAGAGCUGCACAUAAAGACAAGACUUAGUUAAUGCUAGGAUAUAAGGGGAAUGUACAUGAGGGAGAGAGACAAUUGCUGUUAUUCUAGGCAUAAGAAUACAUCACUAAGUAAAUUUAAUGUAUGUUAUGACAGUCAUUAUAAAGACAGCAUUCACCGCAGAAGAGAUAACAGAAAUAUUCUUCUCAUUUCAGGGAUGACUGGUGAUGGUGUAGAGUGAUCAGAUUUUUUUCUCUUUUCCAGCCAGAAGUCAUUGUACUCGUUUUGGAAAAGGUAUUUAAAAGAUUGAGACUGAUCAUCAGUAAUUAAUGCUGCCGAAGGUAGACACGUACAGCUUUGAACUCACCUUGAUUUUUUUUACACUGGGACAUAUAUACUACAGGAAAGAUUAAAUAAAUCCUUUGUGUUGGGCUGAGAUGUAUCUAUCAAGAACAAAACAAAUGAUGAACUAAUCCCCCCAGUACAUUUGUUUAUUUUUCCUUCCUGUUGGCUACAUGCAGUUUGAACUGCAUACAUACACUUCUUAAUGAGAGUAAUAAAGAGAUAAUAUGGACAAUAUGUAUACUAUAUAAAAAGACUCACAGUAUUCCUGUGUCUGGCUUAAAUUAGUGAGUGGUUUAAGAAUAUAAAAUAAUUCAUUGUGUAUAACUUCAACUCCUCCCAAACACUGUUAUUUAAAAUGUAGUAGCAUAAUGAACCCUUUUAAGCUUAGAACUCCCUUUGUGGUCCCCUAAGGCUGUGCUUUCUACCUGUCACCCCACUUAAAGUGUUGCUACCACCUCAGUUUUCUAUCUCCACUUAACAAUCUCUGAUGGUAAACUGGAAGGUGAAGGGCAAAGCUAAUGGGAGGAUGGCUACAAUUUUUGGAGUUUUGCUCUAGAUUGCAACAAAACCCCAAAUCUUCAGAGUGCAGGAACUGACAUCUUCUUUUGACAAAAUGGAGUUGUGCUUAAAUCCAGUUUCUCCAGUCUAGUCCAAGACAGUUCACUGUGGCCUCCUUUCCUAUGCACAGUGAAUGGAAAGUGAAAAUACAGAAAUUAAGCGAUCUCCAGUUCUCAAUUUUGUUUAAUAGGAUGCCGCCUUGUUUCUAAGCUAAGAAUGUGACGACAGCUUUUAACCUUAAAACCACAAACAGGAGAGCUUCAGAGGUGCUUGCCAAGAUAUGUAGUGCUCUAUGUCUGCAUUUAUGGGAAACCCGUUAACUUGGUCUUUCAUCAGUGUGACUGCUCUCAUUCUGCAAUGCACUGGAGGACUUGCUGACACAGCCAGAGAUUGCUCUGCACCCAUAUGGCUGCAAAAGUGGAACAUUGCUUUCUCUGGGAACAGUUAUAUUCAUAUGAUUGAGAAGAUUAAUUAACAUCUGUCCUGUGGUUUUAAGGAAGAAACUGACAGUCCAAAAAAAUGAAAGUGAAGUUGCGAUCUCAAGUAACUGGGAAUUCAAAUUCAGCAUCGCACAGUGGCAUAGCUGCUCUGUAGACAAUAAAGUAUUUGAAAGUCAUCUUUUCCUUGGCAUUUUGAAUAACAAGUUCAGUGAGAUAAAGCACAAUGAAGAUCUUUUGAAGAAGCAUCUGGAAUUCAUCUGUGUAAAGAAACACCUGGCAAUGCCCAUGGGGACUCAGAGAUGAGAAGGCAGCUGGACCAGAAGUGACUGCUUUGUUCCUCCAGUGAACAGCAUACAAGCACUGCCUUUUUCUGAUGGACUGUUGGAGGUGGACUUAAUAAAAUUCUUUCACUGUACAUCAGCUUAUCCCAAAAAGAAAUUAGAAGAUACUCUUUACUUUUAGUAUAAGGAGUGAACAGCACCCACACAAAAGAAAGAUGAAAAGGAUUUAAUAAAGUAUGUUUUACAGUACCCUCUACUCAACAGAAUCACAAAAUCAUGGGAUUGCAGUGACUCUGUCAUCACUGGAUUUCAGCAGAAGUGUGGCACAUCCCAGGAUAGAUUCCACCACUGUGGAAGCACAGCCCUCAGGGUUCCCUAGGGUUACUCUUGAACACGUGUAAAUCAGCCUCCAACUCUUCUUGUUAGGUAAGUAUUGCUUAGCAUUGAGCAUUUGUUCAUUUCUUGCUUGCACAAUGGUUUGACUUUCUUAAUUCCAGAUGCCUGUCCUUUAAAAUCUAUAUGAGCCAGCAGCUACACACACAGUAUUCUUUGAUCUUAUGGUAUGAGCUUCCUACACAGCAGGAAGCAGAUAUUUUUUUCAUGUCAAAAUCGAGCCAUAUCUCAGAAGGAAACAAAAAUAAGCUUUUUCUUCUCUGCCCCAGUUUUCAUCACAAAACCUUUGGCCCCUCUUGCUUUUGUAAGAUCUUUCCUCCCUGUCUGCCACGUGAACUGUGGGAAGUCUUUCCCAAGUGCAUUUAAGCCCUUCCCAUCAAUCCAUCCAAAAAGUUGCUUUAGGUUCAGUGUCCCUCAAUUCAAACACUCCCUUCUGCUCCUGUGGGUUUUAACUCAGAAAUAUUAAUAUCACCUGAAUUGCCUGGCCUUGAAAGGUCAUCUUCAAAAAGUGUAGCAACACUCUUCUUGACCACUGCUCUGUGUUGGCAGAAUGGAAAGAAAAUGAAACUGCAGAUGACUUUGCACCUGAUUUCCUUACUUUUAAAAGCAUUUCUUGAUCAUUUUGAUUUCUUAAAAAUAUUUAAAGAAACUUGUAUGACUUAGGUCACAGAUAAUCCUUUACUAAUACAAUGUCUUAGUAUUGUAAAGGUACAGUAACUGUAGGGUACUGUAUGUGCUAUAUAUUUUCAAUAGUUGUGUAUUCUACCUGUAAUAAGAUUUCACUGCUUUGCUCUUCGAAGUUAUAGGACCUACUACUUUGAUACAGGACUGCCUUUUAGUUUGUGGAUCAUAAAGUCAGUCACGGUAUAUAUGCAAAUGAAGUUUUGAGGGAUGAGGGCAAAGAUGAGUGUUAGGGAAGGAGUUUAGGCUUCCUUCAGAAACUUUGCAGCUCAUGGCUGAACCAAAAUUUGUGUAGGCGUAGCUGGGAAAAUGGGCUGAGCAGGCUGUUAAAGAAGCAUAAAUGCCUCCGAAAUUGACUUACGGAUGGCUACCUGAGGUGUCAGCGCCACAUGAUGCUAUAUUAUAGUCAUUUUAAUGUUUUACUCUGUCCAUUUAUGCCUUUGGUCCCAUUCCCAGAAUGGCUGAGUCACCUUUAUAAACUCAUGGCAAAGAAACACAGUGACGGGGAAGGGAGCAGGACUAUAAUGUUUGAAUUCUGAGCUAUAUCUGCUCAAAGUACAUCUCAACUAUUCCCAGAAAUGCUGGAGAAAACUCUGAUCUCUUUCACUUAGCACUCCCAGACGCCCAGCAAAUCGGUCCAUGUACCACCCUCCAGAGGAUAAAUCCAGCAUCUCCAAACUCUCAGAGGCCCCACGUUUCAGCUGCAGAAGCUGUUAUGAGUAUGUGUUUAGGGAUAAGCAAACAGCAGCAUGACAGACAGCACUCAUGACUCAACCUUGAUAAUAGGCAAACCAAAUAGUCAAAUAAUUCACUGUAAUUCAGCCUAGCAAUUCAAAAUACCACACACUCCUGAUUCUCUGGCAAGCUAACUCAUGUAUGGUAUGAUAUAUUUUUUCAGCAGUUUCAAACUGCCAAAAAUGUGGUAUUAUUUCUCAAACAGGAAACAAAUUAAUGAAGGAUAUGAGAGGUAAAUGAAAACAUGUCACAGAAUGAAAACAUAGUUCAGAAGCUCUUAAUAAAUUAAAAGUUACAAAAAGCAAUUUACAGAGUGUUUUAUGUAUGUCACUACGAUGAGGUUUUAUUGGUGUGAUAUCAUAAUUUGGCUGUCUCUGGUCCCUUUCUCUUGGCAGCUCUAGCUCUAAAGACAUUAUUCGCUUGACAUGCCAGCUCAGGAAGCUGAAUGCCAGAGGUCUGCUUUAUUUGGGCAGUAAUCAACAGGACUUGUAGGUUUACCUAAGGACUUCUACAUCAGUUCUCCAUGUACUGCAUCUUGGGGUCUUUCUUGUUUGACUUUAGUAAUUGCUUUUUUGUGCAAAGAAACUGACUAAAGUCAUCAGGAUUCACUGCUGAAAUUGCAUGGUUUUCAGUUGUUUUCCAAAUUUCCCACAGAAUUAUCUGUGUUUACAAAUGUAUCCAGAUUUUACUUUGAACUUCCUUCCUUCCUCCUGCCCUUAAAGAUAAAUGAAUUCCUAAACAUGUUUGUACUUGCAAAUUCAUAGAUUUAUACACUUCAUGCCACUUUAAUCCCUAUUAAACUAAUCUGAAGUCAUGUCAGGCCAACUAUCCACAGUAAAAUGGAUUAGACAAGCCAGUUGAUCAAAGAUAGAAAUGACUCUGGAUUCUUUUUCUGUCUAGCCUCUGUGCAUUUAGUGCACUAUUUUCAUACAAAUAAUUUUGUUCUCUUUAAUUCUUUUGUGAUUAAGCUAAUUCAAAAAUAACAUUGGUUCUUAGAGAAUCAUUAGUGUGAAGCAGAACAGACAAUGCUUUUAAUUAGGGCUUUUUGUACCUCCUCUAUCCAUUUAGUAAUAAAAUUACUUCUGUAUUAAUUGAUUAGCUAUUUUAAUUUACACAGCAAUAAGUGCUGAUAUACAGUGGCCAUGAAACAGCUUUGUUAAGUAAUUUUUGAAGUACAGCUGAUAUUUGUUUCCUGGAGAAGUGAAAGAUGUUUUGUUUAAAAGCUUUGUGAUGCAUGUGCUGUAGCUUCUGACAGUCCUUCUCAGCAGAAUGCAAUAGACCUCUCACUGAAUUUUAAGGAACUUAGUAUGCACUAUUUCAGCUUUAUUUUUAUUUCUACUAGAGACUCUCGUGUUGCUAAAGGAAUACGUAGGUUCUUUGGAUGUCUGCAAAUUAUGUAAAAGACCUCUAUAUAUAAAGGAAGUCUUAGACUAGAAAAGAAUGCUUAACUACUGAAUUCUAGGAGGAGCACUGUGUUUUUGAUUUUAUUUAUAAUUCUGUUAAUAUUUGACACAAAAAAACAAAUUAACAUACUUUCCCUUAUGAAAGGGAAUAGUCAUUAAAAAUGGCUGUUGGGAACUAAUUCUUCAUGCAUUUUUUAAAAUGGAACAAAUUGCUGUUUGGAAUAAUGGAUUAACAUAAUUAGAUCACUCACAAGCUCUGUUCAGUUGGCCACAUUAACAGAAAUAUAUGAUAAGACUACUUCUAUAGUGCUGCUUUCCACAUUUUGUUUUAAGAACAAUGGCUUGGCUUCUCAGCUGAUCUAAAUUCUUCACACUGAAGGAUGGAAAUGCAAUGAGGGUGUAUGUUUCUUAAUUAUAAAUUACCUCACUCAAAUGACCUUAUACUGUUUGACUGUCAUAAGAAAAUGUCUGUGCAAAUACUAAUCAUAACUAUUUCCCCUGCCUUUCCUCCACAGAAGGAAAUUUCUAGGCCACCUCAACACAUUCACAUGACAUGGCAGCUGGCUGACCCAGUCUUACCUACCCUAACCCACUCUACCCAUUCUCAAGCACUUACUCCCUACUGCAGGAAUGAGACUUUCACUCUCAUCCUGUUCCCUCCAUUAUGUCAUGCCAUAGUUGGAACAACAGCAGACAAUACUUUGUCGUUCUCCUCAUCAAUUGAAAGGUUUUGCACAUGGUUUGGAUCUGCAUAAAAUUCUCUGAUCCUUAUACAUGCGAGUGAGAAUGGAAAAGGAAAGAAUUCAAUAGUUUUUUUUUCUAUAGUUGUUGGUAUACCCUUCAAUGCAGUUUUUUCAGGCCAUGCUUUGGAUUAAGAAGAGAACAGCUAAAUGAAAGGGAAAAUGAAAAUAAACUCUCCCAAUGGAAGUUUGAAGCAAAGUGUCUGAUAUCCAGAGAAGACCAAUUUUGAGCUCAGAGCUGCAGCUCAUGCUAAGCAGGUUUGCUGCACUUGCUCAUUCCUGUUUGUAUCAGCUGUCUUUUCUGAAUCUGACAGCAACACACUGGUAGAAGCAGCUAAGAAAAAGCAAGGAUUAGUAAAGUAAUCUCUAGUGGUAUCCUCCAUUCUGCUCUAAAACUUGGGGGAAGGGGAGAAUAGUUAGUGUUCAGAGGAAAGAAUAUUUGCUCUUGUACAACUGUGUUUUCCCUCCCUUAUUCAUGGAUGAAGCUUCAAUCAUUCAAAAACCUCUAAAUGCAAAUAUAUGUUUCUAGUUGAGUUUACUCAAUGUGUUCGUUUAUCAGGAAGAAGACAGAAGAAAACAUCUCCUUUACCCCAUAUUAAAAAAAAAAAAA